UACGUAGGGCGCAAGCGUUGUCCGGAUUUAUUGGGCGUAAAGAGCUCGUAGGCGGUUCAGUAAGUCAGGUGUGAAACCUCCAGGCUCAACCUGGAGACGCCACCUGAUACUGCUGUGACUUGAGUCCGGUAGGGGAGCGUGGAAUUCCUGGUGUAGCGGUGAAAUGCGCAGAUAUCAGGAGGAACACCGGUGGCGAAGGCGGGUCUCUGGGCCGAUACUGACGCUGAGGAGCGAAAGCGUGGGGAGCGAACAGG
rnacentral:rRNA from 1 species